CCCUUAGAUGUUCUGGGCCGCACGCGCGCUACACUGAUGCAUUCAACGAGUUUUUCCUGGUCCGAGAGGAAUGGGUAACCUUUUGAAAGUGCAUCGUGCUAGGGAUAGACUAUUGCAAUUAUUGGUCUUCAACGAGGAAUUCCUAGUAGACGUAGUUCAUCAGACUGCAUCGAUUACGUCCCUGCCCUUUGUACACACCGCCCGUCGCACCUACCGAUUGAAUGGUCCGGUGAAAUCUUCGGAUCUGAGAGAUGUCUGAUUAAUUUCGGACGCCUUUUGGAAAAGUUGUUUAAACCUUACCAUUUAGAGGAAGGUGAAGUCGUAACA
rnacentral:rRNA from 1 species